AAAAUAACAAUGAUUUCCCUAGUAACGGCGAGUGAAGAGGAAAGAGCUCAAAGUUGGAAACUGUUUGGCUUAGCUAAACCGUAUUGUAAACUGUAGAAACAUUUUCCUGGCACACCAGAUUAAUAAGUCCUUUGGAACAAGGCAUCAUGGAGGGUGAGAAUCCCGUCUUUGAUCUGAGUAGUUGUCUUUUGUGAUAUGUUUUCAAAGAGUCAGGUUGUUUGGGAAUGCAGCCUAAAUUGGGUGGUAAAUCUCACCUAAAGCUAAAUAUUUGCGAGAGACCGAUAGCGAACAAGUACCGUGAGGGAAAGAUGAAAAGAACUUUGAAAAGAGAGUUAAACAGUAUGUGAAAUUGUUAAAAGGGAACCGUUUGGAGCCAGACUGGUUUGACUGUAAUCAACCUAGAAUUCGUUUUGGGUGCACUUGCAGUCUAUACCUGCCAACAACAGUUUGAUUUGGAGGACAAAAUUAAUAGGAAUGUAGCCUCUCGAGGUGUUAUAGACUAUUAUCAUACUCUGGAUUGGACUGAGGAACGCAGCGAAUGCCUUUAGGCAAGAUUGCUGGGUGCUUUCGCUAAUAAAUGUUAGAAUUUCUGCUUCGGGUGGUGCUAAUGUUUAAAGGAGGAACACAUCUAGUAUAUUUUUUAUUCGCUUAGGUUGUUGGCUUAAUGACUCUAAAUGAC
rnacentral:rRNA from 1 species